rnacentral:rRNA from 1 species
GACGGAGGAUGCAAGUGUUAUCCGGAAUCACUGGGCGUAAAGCGUCUGUAGGUGGUUCGAAAAGUCCACUGUUAAAAAUUGAGGCUUAACUUCAAAGAUGCCGUGGAAACUUUCAAACUAGAGUAUGGUAGGGGUAGAGGGAAUUUCCAGUGGAGCGGUGAAAUGCGUAGAUAUUGGAAAGACCACCGAUGGCGAAGGCACUCUACUGGGCCACUACUGACACUGAGAGACGAAAGCUAGGGUAGCAAAUGGG